UUUUCUUUGGAAAUAAAUAAAUAAUAGUAAAAAAAUAGUCAAAAAAAGAAUAAGAAUAGUAAAAAAUAAAUGAUAUAUAAAGGUGAGUGAGUAAGCUAAAAAGAAUUACAGAAAAAGAAAGCACAGAAAAGCUGAAAAGAUUGAAGGAGAAGAAUGAAUAUUUGUGAUCCUCGUGGAUACCAACAACAUCCCCUCCACAUCAAUUUCUCCUCCUCCUCCUCCUCCUCUUCCGGCGCCGUCAUUUCCUCCUCCUC
rnacentral:lncRNA from 1 species